UACAGAGGUCUCAAGCGUUGUUCGGAUUCAUUGGGCGUAAAGGGUGCGUAGGCGGCGCGGUAAGUCGGGUGUGAAAUCUCGGAGCUUAACUCCGAAACUGCAUUCGAUACUGCCGUGCUUGAGGACUGGAGAGGAGACUGGAAUUUACGGUGUAGCGGUGAAAUGCGUAGAUAUCGUAAGGAAGACCAGUGGCGAAGGCGACUUCCUGGCCUGUUCUUGACGCUGAGGCGCGAAAGCUAGGGGAGCAAACGGG
rnacentral:rRNA from 1 species